CUGUGAGGGUUCGGUGUCUGCAGCGGGGCGUGAUGCUGCACCACGCGUACAGAAGCAGAAAGCUACACCAGAGCUACAACUUGGCUCUUCUGGCAAUGCAUAGCCAGACCUCUUCAGGAUCAGAGCUGGACAAGGAAGCGAUCAAAAGCAGCAAACAAACCUAAAUGUGCUGCUUCCUGCCUUUCAGAGGCAAGCCAAACUACUUCACAAACUGGGGGCUUAAACAGGAAAGGAGAUGAUACUGCCUCAAACCCCGCUUCCCGCAGUACCUCAAUACUUCCGUCCACAAAAUCAUCAGGUGCAAGCACACCAAAAGCCACAAGUCAUCCUGCUUGAUCCUCAGUUACCAGCAGCAUUCAAACAUCAAAAUCAGAGCCUCAUCCACCAAGCUGCAAAACUUCUGUAGGACCAUAGUCAAAGAGCUGCACUUAGGCUGAGAUGAAAACUGUUUCAGUAGCUGAGCUGAAGAAAUGAUGCUCACUUUCACCUUUGCCGCAUCACUGCACUGUUCACUACCGGGAAAUGGAGGUGGCAUUCAGACCAGCCGCUCUGCUGGAAGAUGUUGCUGUGGGGUCAUUACUGGCAGUGAGUUGGCACUUAGUGAUGGUGAACUCUGUACUAACUUCUGCCACAGAGAAUCAGAGACAUUUGGCAGAAUCACCAAGGUUGGAAAAGACCUCCAAGAUCCUCUAGUCCAACUAUCCACCUACAACUGCUGGGUGAGAACAGGCAAUAAUUUGAAUUGUAUGAGGUUAACUGCUAGACAAUAAUACAUGUAAUCAUUACUAUGGUUGUUAUAUGCCUUGUCAAUGGUAUUACAGUAAGAAUCACCCAGACUAAAGAAGAAAGAGUUCUGAUGGAAGCAGAACUAACUUCAGCAAGCAGUAAUCCAACACCAUGCAUCACCCCUUUCACACUGAAGGACUGUUAUAACAAGAUGGUGUCGAAAGUCAUAGACUAAAUUAACUCCAUGUACAAUUUACUGGGAUGGCCUCCCACUGGGAGGGGGAAGGGAAGUAAGCAAAAGGCUGCUUGGUGUUAAGCUGCUUGCUGGGUUAAACCACAACAGCACAUUGGAAGAAACAUACUAUCACAUGCAGUUAGCUGAACUUACCCAGAGCUGGAAUGAGACAGGAAAAAAAAACCAUCAUUAUGGUGGUGUACGCAUCUGAGGCCAGUAACACCAAGCCAGACUAGGAGUCCCAACACUGAGGAAGCCCUUCGUGUUGAUACCUCCAGCCACAGGAAAAGGCAGUGCCUGCUUAAGUCCAGAAAGUAAAACAUUUCUGCAUUAUGGGAAGGUUUGCCCAUAGGAAAACCGAUUUGAACUCCAGAUGACAGAACUGCCUGUUCAGUAAGUCAGGAUCAAGGGCAAUGCUGUUAUCCUUCAUGUCCACUGUGACCCUCACAUUAGGACCUCCAGUCUCAGGGCAGGAUGAAGAAUAAAACUGAAUGCUAAUACUCUAAAAUGAAGUGAAAAAUCAUUUAAAAAUUCAACAUUUUCUUUUUCCUUGCCCUGCUAGCCUUCCCC
ensembl:lncRNA